CAUUAGAUGGCUGAAAGCAAGCAAUGGUCUCUUAAACCAAAAAAUAGUAAAUUAGCGACUACUUCUAAUGA
rnacentral:tRNA from 2 species